CCGAGCCCAAGCCCGCUCUGUUUCCUUGUCCUCCUCUCCCGUUUUCCGCAUCGCCGCCGCCCCCACGCCCUCAAUUUCUCUCGCCACUGGAUUCGGCCGUCGCGGGAUCGAUUCCUCCGAGCAGCAGGUGGUCUCGCAGGGCACGUCCACCGUCGGCGACGCUCCCGCGGAUAGGCGAGUCUGACCCCAACAGCACUGGCGCUGCGUCGAGUUGGCUCGGUGCAGCGACGACGAGAUCUCCUCCUCACCGACCAAAUCGUCAGCUCGAGUAGGGAGAGCAAGUUCCUCAUCCACCUCAGGGCCAGAGCGGUUCCCUUCCUAUUGGGGGUGCGUCGUUGGCGUCUUCUCUUCCUGCAAGGACAUGUCCAGACUAUGCUGAUGGUGAGGACUGGCAAGUGUGAUGCCAUGUUCGUGACGUGCUGCUUCCUUCCAAGCCAUCCCCGUCAUGGAGAGGACCCGCUUUUGUUCAUUAUUUUUCCUUCAAAGUGUCAGAUUUCACAGUUAGAAAACUUGCGACUUUGUGAAAGUAAAGUCGCAAACAGGCAAAGAAGGAGAUGAUAGCUCAAGGUGGAAAAACCUGGGAAGUCACAGGCUUUAGAGGGAGGGAUGUUGAUACACGGCACAUGUACCAAGCUUAUCCUGCCACAUGUAGCCGCUGUAGUGGUGGCCGCCUCGUCCUUGGUUCAGGGAUCAACUAAUUCAUCCUCGUGACCCGCUGCUUCCAAGCCAUCUCUGUCAUGGAGAGGACCUGCUUUUUUUAUUACUUCCCUUCAAAGUGUUUAAUUUUGCAGUUAUAAAACUUGCGACGGCAUAGAAGGAGGUGAUAACUCAAGGUGGAAAUAACCUGGGAGGUCACAGGCUGAGAGUGAGGGAAGUUGGUACCCGCCAAAUGUACGAAGCUUAUCCGACACAUGUACGAAGCUUAUCCAGCAGUCCUACACAUGUGUAACAGCGGCAGUGGUGGCCGCUUUGUUUUUGGUUCAGCUCUUCGGCAAGGGAAACCGGGAUUUGGUUCACUUCAACAUGGACAUAGGUCAAAUCCGGGUCGACUACGCCAUGAACGCCUUCAGUCGCAAGACCUUGUACUUUAGCAUCAACAGUGGUUGUUCAGGCUCAUAAUAGAUCAUCAAAGGUACAUAGCUGGCAUAACAUAGUUACAAGCCAUAACAUGAGAUCACCUCUCCAUAGCUUUCCAUUCCAACAUGCCUCGACGCAACAAGCUGGUGCCCGAGGCAUUCGAAGGCUGUACAGUCAAGAUUGUUGUUGUCUUCUGCUGGAUGCUGAAACAGACAAGACAAGCCGUGAGAUGGCAAGUGCAGAGAGCAGAGUUGUGGCUUGCGGAAAAUCUGAGAUUCUCAAAAAGUAAAUUGGUAUAUGUGGUUGUCGAGAAGACAAUCGAAUAUGGCAUACACCAAGGAAAAUGCUUUGUACGCGAUAUUUAAAAAAUAUGGCUCCGGAACUACUUUGUAGGUCAGUGUUAUCGUAUAUUAUAUUUAAUAUAUAAAUACGUAUUAGUUAA